AUGGCAGAAAAAAUGAAUCAAUCUUGUGCUCAAAGUAAUCAGUCAACGCACCAGUUGGGGUCUCACAUGGAUUGGACUUGGGGAUGGAAUGAGGAGACAAGCUGGUUUGAAGUGAUUUCUGUGAGAGGCGAGCCAAUUGUAUAUAUUGGCAAUCCCUUCGCAAUUUAUCUGAAAUGGGCAGUGGCUGAGUGUGGGAUUUUUCAAAAGCCAGAAAAGCACCUCCAGUGGUGCUUUCGCUCCUAUGAAUUAAUAAACCACCGUGCUCGGGUACAGAAUGUUUGCUUUAAGCCCCAAAAUAAGCUAGCUGUUUGCUUGGGUACAGAAUGCCAAAGCCCAAUCCCAACCAAACGCCCCUUUAACCUUGGGAACCAUAGGAUUCAAACUAGCACAGAUUGUGUGCCUAAAAUUGCCUUACCUAUGUGCAGAUAUUCGGCCAUCAAAUUUGUCAGUUCUAUUAAGAUAACCACACAUUUUUGGUGA
rnacentral:rRNA from 1 species